GACGAACGCUGGCGGCGUGCUUAACACAUGCAAGUCGAACGGAAAGGCCUCUUUCGGGGGGUACUCGAGUGGCGAACGGGUGAGUAACACGUGAGUAACCUGCCCUUGACUUUGGGUUAACUUCAGGAAACUGGGGCUAAUACCGGAUAGGAGCUCCUGCUGCAUGGUGGGGGUUGGAAAGUUUCGGCGGUUGGGGAUGGACUCGCGGCUUAUCAGCUUGUUGGUGGGGUAGUGGCUUACCAAGGCUUUGACGGGUAGCCGGCCUGAGAGGGUGACCGGCCACAUUGGGACUGAGAUACGGCCCAGACUCCUACGGGAGGCAGCAGUGGGGAAUAUUGCACAAUGGGUGGAAGCCUGAUGCAGCAACGCCGUGGGCGGGAUGACGGCCUUCGGGUUGGAAACCGCUUUCGCUCAUGACGAAGCUUUGUGUGACGGUAGUGGGUAAAGAAGCACCGGCUAACUACGUG
rnacentral:rRNA from 1 species